AUUGAACGCUGGCGGCAGGCCUAACACAUGCAAGUCGAGCGAGCGGCGGACGGGUGAGGAAUGUAUGGGGACUGCCCGAUAGAGGGGGAUAACUACUGGAAACGGUGGCUAAAACCGCAUACUAACGGAGAACCCAUAUGGGAUUAGCUAGUAGGUGGGGUAAAGGCGCACCGAGGCGACGAUCUCUCGCUGUUCUGCGAGGAGGAGCAGCCACCCUGGGACUGUGACACGCCCCAGGCUCCUACGGCGGCGGCAGUGGGGAUGAUUGCACAAUGGGCGCAAGCCUGAUGCAGCCAUUCCGCGUGUAUGAAGAAGGCCUUAGGGUUGUAAAGUACUGUCAGCGGGGAGGCGUUACCCGCAGAAGAAGCACCGGCUAACUCCGUGCCAGCAGCCGCGGUAAUUC
rnacentral:rRNA from 1 species